rnacentral:rRNA from 1 species
AUUGAACGCUGGCGGCAGGCCUAACACAUGCAAGUCGAGCGGAUGACGGGAGCUUGCUCCUUGAUUCAGCGGCGGACGGGUGAGUAAUGCCUAGGAAUCUGCCUGGUAGUGGGGGACAACGUUUCGAAAGGAACGCUAACACCGCAUACGUCCUACGGGAGAAAGCAGGGGACCUUCGGGCCGUGCGCUAUCAGAUGAGCCUAGGUCGGAUUAGCCAGUUGGUGGGGUAAUGGCUCACCAAGGCGACGAUCCGUAACUGGUCUGAGAGGAUGAUCAGUCACACUGGAACUGAGACACGGUCCAGACUCCUACGGGAGGCAGCAGUGGGGAAUAUUGGACAAUGGGCGAAAGCCUGAUCCAGCCAUGACGCGUGUGUGAAGAAGUUCUUCGGAUUGUAAAGCCCUUUAAGUUGGGAGGAAGGGCAGUAAGCUAAUACCUUGCUGUUUUGACGUUACCGACAGAAUAAGCACCGGCUAACUCUGUGCCAGCCGCCGCCGUAACAC